rnacentral:piRNA from 1 species
UUGUUCUAGUUUGAGGGUCGUGGAGC